CCUACGGGAGGCAGCAGUGGGGGAUAUUGCACAAUGGGGGGAACCCUGAUGCAGCGACGCCGCGUGGGUGAAGAAGCGCCUCGGCGCGUAAAGCCCUGUCAGCAGGGAAGAAAAUGACGGUACCCUAAGUAGAAGCCCCGGGUAACUACGUUCCAGCAGCCGCCGGAAUACGUAGGGGGCAAGCUUUAACCGGGUUUACUGGGUGUAAAGGGGGCGCAGACGGCGAUGCAAGCCAGGAGUGAAAGCCCGGGGCCCAACCCCGGGACUGCGCUUGGAACUGCGUGGCUGGAGUGCAGGAGGGGCAGGCGGAAUUCCUGGUGUAGCGGUGAAAUGCGUAGAUAUCAGGAGGAACACCGGUGGCGAAGGCGGCCUGCUGGACUGCAACUGACGUUGAGGCCCGAAAGCGUGGGGAGCAAACAGGAUUAGAUACCCGUGUAGUC
rnacentral:rRNA from 1 species